rnacentral:rRNA from 1 species
AACGAACGCUGGAGGCAGGCUUAACACAUGAAAGUCGAACGGGCGUAGCAAUACGUCAGUGGCAGACGGGUGAGUAACACGUGGGAAUAUCACUUUCAGUUCGGAAUAACUCAGGGAAACUUGAGCUAAUACCGGAUACGUCCUUCGGGAGAAAGAUUUAUCGCUGAGAGAUUAGCCCGCGUCUGAUUAGCUAGUUGGUGAGGUAAUGGCUCACCAAGGCGACGAUCAGUAGCUGGUCUGAGAGGAUGAUCAGCCACACUGGGACUGGGACACGGCCCAGAAUCACCCGGAAAGCAGCAGUGGUAGAUAUUGGACAAUGGGGGAAACCCUGAUCCAGCCAUGCCGCGUGACUGAUGAAGGCCUUAGGGUUGUAAAGCUCUUUUGGCAGGGAAGAUAAUGACUGUACCUGGAGAAUAAGCCCCGGCUAACUUCGUGCCAGCCGCCGCCGUAA